GACGAACGCUGGCGGCGUGCUUAACACAUGCAAGUCGAACGGAAAGGCCCUGCUUUUGUGGGGUGCUCGAGUGGCGAACGGGUGAGUAACACGUGAGUAACCUGCCCUUGACUUUGGGAUAACUUCAGGAAACUGGGGCUAAUACCGGAUAGGAGCUCCUGCUGCAUGGUGGGGGUUGGAAAGUUUCGGCGGUUGGGGAUGGACUCGCGGCUUAUCAGCUUGUUGGUGGGGUAGUGGCUUACCAAGGCUUUGACGGGUAGCCGGCCUGAGAGGGUGACCGGCCACAUUGGGACUGAGAUACGGCCCAGACUCCUACGGGAGGCAGCAGUGGGGAAUAGUGCACAAUGGUCGGAAGCCUGAUGCAGCAACGCCGCGUGCGGGAUGACGGCCUUCGGGUUGUAAACCGCUUUCGCCUGUGACGAAGCGUGAGUGACGGUAAUGGGUAAAGAAGCACCGGCUAACUACGUG
rnacentral:rRNA from 1 species